rnacentral:lncRNA from 12 species
GAUCCAUCUCCUGGCCAAGUGGCCAGGCUGGGAGGGCCAGCAGAGCAGCAUGUGCUCUCCUGGCUCAGCAGCAGAGUGGAACUUAACCCAGGGACCUGGCUCAACAUCCUUUCUGUGCACAGGCCACUUAGGUAGAGCUUAGCAAACGACUGCAUCAGAAUACCAGAAAAUGGCCAGUGUGAAUGGGCCAUUGUACCCAGUGCCUUUAUGGAUGUGACUUCACAUGAAUCUACACUGGAUCUGUGUUACUAAAUGGAAG